GCCAGUGUGGCGUAGUGGUUUGAGGGUUGGACUAUGACUCUGGAGAGCAGGGUUCGAAUCCUCGCUCAGUUA